UUAGGAUACCUUUCCAGUGACAGAGAAGUUAAUGAUUUAGUGAUUCAUACAAGGAAAGCUGCCUUGCCACCUUUGGUAAUUGUUUGCACUGCAGAUAGUGCUGCGUGAACUGACCUUGUCAAAUUAGCAGAAACCCCAUACUGUACAGUACCGUACGGCAGGCAACUCACGGGCAAACUCCAGAGGUGAUUUUAUCAGUAAGCGAAUCUCUCUCCCCUUACUCUCUGCUUUUUGAUGUUAGACUGCUUUUCAUCCGCACUGAGCCCAACUUCUAGGCGGUCUCCCUAGGAAGGCGCAGUUCAGCUCUGCUUGUUCCCCCACCUGGCGAGAGGUCCCAGGUAAGCCUGAUGCUGCCUUCGCAGCCACAUAAGAAAACUAAAUCCCAUUCUCCUCUUUUCCUCUAUAAACGCAAGACUACAGAAGCAAAAUGGACAGGCAAAUGCUCUGCGGUCUCCCUGGUCAGAAGCAGUACAAGCAGCCAGAGAAAGACAACCGUGGCAGACGGCUGGGGGACUGCAGCGCUGGAGCAGAGCACAGCUUCUGCCCACACCGCUCCCGAGCGGCAAGCCCAGCAAAGGCAACACGGACGCCAAAUGAGCUCUCGGAGAGGACUUAGUGAUGGAACCACCCUGUUUUCCUUGAAGCUAAUGGAGGAUCCACCAUUUAGAUCAAUUAAAUUCAGUGAGUCCUGAAAUAUAUACAUUUAUUUCAAACCAUACUGCUUCCCAGCACCCACUGCACCUCUCUGUGAAAUACAGCAAUUUACGUAAGAUGUCUAAGUAACAAGCUAGAGAGGGACUUAAACAUUUCUCCAGAAUACUUUUAAUUAAUUGCACUUAACUCACCGUUACUACUCCAGUUUCAUUUCAGUGGUGCUACACCCGCCUAAAGCUGAAGGAGCAUUGAGGUAAGUCAGGCCCUCAGCACUUUAAAGUCCCAUCCUUGUUUCAUGAGGGAUUAAUUAGGGUACCUCAGAAGUCCUGGGUACUUGGAAUCUUUUCUUUUUUUAAACGCUAAUCAGAGAAAAUCUUUUACUAAAAAGCACAACUUCCUUGAUGUGGGUUACUAAUAUCUCUCCCGUUCCUCCGCACCAGAAGUACAGAGUUAAGCAUGUAAAUCAUAUUGCACAUGACACAUCUAAAGGAAGGUGACAGAUGACUGUGACUGCCAUUAAAUGUUUAUUGCAUCCCUGCCACAUAAUGCAAUUAGAAGGCAAGAAACAAGUAACGUGUACUGCUCUGGUGGGAGAAUGGAGAAAUUACUGGAUUUUCUCUCUUAACCUAUUUAUAUCUUGCAGUGGGGGCAUUAGGCAGAUUAAGCAAGGGACACUGCCCCCAUCUAAGUACUAAGUAGCAUUUGUCACUCAUUGCAUUAUAUCAUUAUCACGCACAACUUCUUACAGCUAUUAUUCAGUAAUAUCAAAUCACAGGGAAAGCGGCUGCCCCAGUCUUCUGCUACCAACAUGCUCCCUUACUACAUAUUCUUAAGUAUUCAAGUAUCUGAAGGGCGAGUGUCAAGAGGAUGAGGCCAGCCUCUUCUCCGUGGUGCCCAGCAACAGGACGAGAGGCAAUGGGCAGAAACUGAACCACAGGCAGUUCCAUCUGAACCUGAGAAAAAACUUCUUCACUGUGAGGGUGACAGAGCAUUGGAACAGGUUGCCCAGAGAGGUGGUGGAGUCUCCUUUGCUGGAGAUAUUCAAAACCCGUCUGGAUGUGAUCCUGGGCAAUAUGCUCUAGGUGACCCUGCUUGAACAGGGAGGUUGGACUAGAUGAUCUCCAGAGGUCCCUUCCAACCUAAACGAUUCUGUGAUUCCUCUCAAAGCAGGCAGCAAAAUCCCCUAAAAGUUACUGAUCGUGAGUAUUCAUAUCUAGGAAUCAGUGCAACAAGAAUAAUAGUCAGCCUGUGCGAUGUGUUGCUUUAAUAAAAUACCACUGUGCUGCUUUAACA
rnacentral:lncRNA from 1 species